CAAAUAUGUCAAAAUUCAAUAAAGACUAAAGUUAUCUUAAUUUCAGUAAAAGGCAGCAAUGAGACACAUGAUGACGUGGACAGCCAGUGUGAAACGAGUGACGGAACAGCAAAGCUGACGAGUAUGAUCCUGGGCGGUCUGACUGUCUUCCUGGUAGCGGUCAUCAUCGGUCUGGUUGUUAAAGUCAGGAAGCUGCAGACUUCAGCUGAUGAAGAAGAACAGAAUCCAGAGCAAAGAGAGAAUGUGGACUCUGAUGAACUGAACUACGCAGCAGUGACAUUUCAACCUAGAGCAAAAAGAAGACAGCCGGAGCCGAAUGUUAUUUAUGCUGCUACCAGAUAAGACUCAGGAGAUAACUGGAGCUGAUGCUGUAAUAAUAUCAAUAUGCUUUAGAGCUUUUGUAGAGCUUGUUGGUGAGAGGAAGAACCACUUUUACCAAAACAUUUCAUUUUGCAAUAAAGAUCCGAUGCAUGCAGAGCUUU